rnacentral:rRNA from 1 species
CUGGGCGUAAGCGCACGCAGGCGGUCGGCCGCGUCGGUGGUGACAGUCCUCGGCUUAACUGAGGAGGGUCUACCGAAACGGGUGGACUUGAGGGCCAGAGAGGGACACGGAACUCCGGGUGGAGCGGUGAAAUGCGUAGAGAUCCGGAAGAACACCGAAGGCGAAGGCAGUGUCCUGGCUGGCUCCUGACGCUCAGGUGCGAAAGCUAGGGGAGCAAACAGGAUUAGAUACCCUGGUAGUCCUAGCUGUAAACGAUGACCACUAGGCGUGUGGAGGCUCGACCCUCUGCGUGCCGCAGUUAACACACUAAGUGGUCCGCCUGGGGAGUACGGUCGCAAGAUUAAAACUCAAAGGAAUUGACGGGGACCCGCAUAAGCAGCGGAGCGUGUGGUUUAAUUCGAUGCAACGCGAAGAACCUUACCAGGGUUUGACAUGCACGCGCACCACCGAGCGAUCGGUGUACCCGCAAGGGACGCGUACACAGGUGCUGCAUGGCUGUCGUCAGCUCGUGCCGUGAGGUGUUGGGUUAGGUCCCGCAACGAGCGCAACCCCUAUGGCUAGUUACACGUCUCUAGUCAGACUGCCGCGUUCAACGCGGAGGAAGGUGGGGAUGACGUCAAGUCAGCACGGCCCUUACAUCCUGGGCGACACACACGCUACAAUGGACGCGACAAUGGGUUGCCAACCCGCGAGGGGGAGCUAAUCCCAGCAAAGGCGUUCUCAGUUCAGAUUGCAGGCUGCAACCCGCCUGCAUGAAGUCGGAGUUGCUAGUAACCGGAAGUCAGCACAUUCCGGUGAAUACGUUCCCGGGUCUUGUACACACCGCCCGUCACACCACGAAAGUCGGCGACACCUGAAGCCGCCGGGCUAACCCUGUAGGGGGAGGUAGGCGU